rnacentral:lncRNA from 1 species
CAAACAUGAAUACUGCCGAUAAAGAGGGGGAGGAGGAGCUACGAACGGUGGACUAGAGUGUCUGCCAUGGAUCCACCUACAAUCAUAACACGAAUGUGGCGCCCCCAGCAAAAGGGACGUCAGUACACUUGAAUUGUACUGGCAUAUAUGAACUAACUCUGUCCCAAGUAAACCAAGCCAAAUUGCAUGAACAAUUAUAGAACUGAACAACAACAGUACAAGCACAACCAGGAAGCAACAACCAAACAUUUCAGAACAAUGAUUCACGCAGUCAUACAAAGGGACAAUCAGUUCCCCACAGGUUACAAACUCU